UCCAGCGGUUGUCAGCUGUACAGGCCUGUACCGUUCCUGUGCUAGUGUUACUCUGCUGGGAAAGAGAGGCUCUGCCGAUUGUGCUCAGUUCAGGAGUUGCUGUUUUAGUAGCUUCUCGAUGCUUAGCUGUGGCAGAGCCUUGCCCCUCUGAGAGUGGGCUGUCCCCUCACCAGUGGGGGCAGCCCUAGUCUGUGGGUAAACAUG
ensembl:snoRNA SNORA74 Small nucleolar RNA SNORA74